GCCUUCGUGCUGUAGGGGUCAGCACACUCGGCGCGUAUUCGAGAGGUCCGUGGUUCGAGUCCCGGUGAGGGCA
rnacentral:tRNA from 1 species